GCUCCUUUUCUAUAGCUUCAACAGAAAUAGCAAUAAGAGUUCUCUUUUAUUUAGACAAAACAUAAUUUAGUCUAUUUGUCUGUUUAUAUUGUCUUUUUACUGAAUAUCUAACAGAUAUUGGCCACGUCUUUUCUCUAGGUUAACAUUGAUGCAGUGCCUAUCAUUUGCACACAUACACUUAACCAUAUUUCCUAUUGAUUUUCUCUUUCAGAAUCAGAGAAUGCCGAGUGGUCCUGGUUGAAGGUAAAGCCAGAGGCUGUGCCUAUCCAGCUCCUUACUUGGAUGAAUAUGGAGAAACAGACCCUGGCCUGAAGAGGGGCAACCCCCUUCAUUUAUCUCGUGAGCGGUAUCGGAAGCUCCAUUUGGUCUGGCAACAACACUGCAUUAUAGAAGAGAUUGCUAGGAGCCAAGAGACUAAUCAGAUGUUAUUUGGAUUCAACUGGCAGUUACUGUGAGCUCCAACUCUGCCUCAAGACAAUCACAAAUGACGACAGUAGUAAAGGCUGAUUCAAAAUUAUGGAAAACUUUCUGAGGGCUGGGAAAGUAUUGGAGGGUCUUUUGCUCCAUGUCCAGGUUCACUUACAUCAAUAAAAUAUU
rnacentral:sRNA from 1 species